GUUGGUUGGGCUAACACGGCAUGCACAUAUAGUCUGUAGCUAUACACACAGUCAUACAGGUAUAAUACAAAUAAGGUAUAAAGGGGUCUUAGGUGUUUAGUCAAUGGAUUAAUCCAAUAGUACAGGGAAAGAGAGGGAACUGUUCUUGUAUUGGUUUGGAAUAGCAAGCAAAACAUAUGAUGUUCCAUGCAUGCCUUGACUCAAACAUCACUCUGGAGUUCUAUCUUGAAUCAGCAAUCGAAUACCUGACUACACAAUGAAAUUGAUAACUGGAAUGUUAAUACAUGUAUUGAUUUACAUUUAGGUGACACUAGAAAACUAAAUGAGAGGAUCAUCAUUUGUAACUAGAAAGAUUUUAAAGUGGAUGAUGGAAUUGAAAUAAGGAAUGAAAUUAACUACGGAAUUACUUUACUAAAUAAUGGAUUUUAAACUUAACAAUGGAAUUACUAAACUAAACAAUGGAAUACUAAACUAAACGAUGGAAUGCUAAACUAAACGAUGGAAUGCUAAACUAAACGAUGGAAUACUAACUAAAUAAUGGAGAAAUACUGAGAACUACAAGGUGAUACAAAAUGGUUGAACUCUCGAAAACAGUCUACACAAUGGUAGUAUUUGUUGGUAUCAUAGAACUGAUGAUACUUUUUCAAAUGCCAAAAAGAAAGGGUGUAGUCAUUGAUACAUCAGGAAUCCAACAAUCACAAUAUGAAUUUGACAGAGCUAUAAAACUUGAUGAUUCCCCUGCAAGAGCUAAUGUUAAAACAGCCUCUGGGGAAUCAUUGAAAGAUGGCGCAUCACUCUGUGUCGCUAUAUUGACAGGAGCCCCACCUGGUGAAAGAAAAAAAUCAGCAGCAAGGUUAUUGCGUAAUUUAAUUGAAUUUGCUGAAAUACCAACGAGAAAUAUACACGUGUUUUAUGACAAUGUAGACCCUAAAGAUCUUACUUACGAUCCUAAAAGACUGGGACUUCUGCUACAUCCUGCCUCAAUGCUUAACUCUACUUCUAAUGACAUACCUGUCAUAAAUGCUCAUAAGAUAGUUCGCCCAGGCAAUGCUAAGCUGAAGAAGCAUAUGAUGAUUACGCAGAACUACCAAUUUAUGCUAGAUCGCUUAUUUAAAGAUCUUAAGUACAGAUAUUGUGCCAUAUUAGAGGAUGAUCUGAUUCUAUCUAAAGACACUGGUGAUUAUCUUGAAGCAGGGGUCAAAUUAAUGGAUAAGGACCCAAAAGUUAUGUCUGUGUCACUUUUUAACGAUAAUUCCUUCAGUUGGUGUUCAAGCAAUGAAACAUUUUUUCGCAGAGUGGGCCACUUUGGAGGGCUUGGGUUUUUAAUGUCAGGCAAGCACUAUGUCGGCAUACUCAGCUCAAAGCUGAAUAUUAAAGUACCUUGGGAUGCCACUUUUCAACGUGAGCUUGCAAAUAAUAAAAUGGUGACAAUAAUCCCGGAACUUUCCCGUUCUUUGCAUAUGGAAAAUCAAGCAAUUAACAUCCCCAGUGACUUACGUAUUCCCAGUGACGACACUGAAGCUAUAUCAAUAUAUGAUGGUCCUCGGGUCAAACACAGUCUAGAUAAUUUGGGAGAAAAAGAAUAUGAUGAGUUCAUUACACAAUUUGUUCGUUCAGCUCAUAAAAUUGACUAUCUUGAGGAUGCAGCAUUUUUCUUUCCUAGUCAGGAUAAGCAAGUGCCUAAUUUUGUGUUUACUAAUUGUAAUAAUCAAAAGGAGGCAAGUGCUGUGAUGGCUUCUCACGGAUUGGUUGGUUUGGGUAAUGGAGGCGUCGUAAGAGGUGAUUACAAGGAUACAGUUUUCUUGCGUCCAUAUGGCAAUCUCGUGCUCAUGGUGUGUAAGCCGUCCAUGUGGUAUGGAGUUGCUAAUAAUGCCCCAAGUGCAACAGAUCUCAUACAUACUUUUGUCAACAAAAUUACAUGGAAGCUUCUUGAUCAGACGAUGGGGCGUCCAAAAAUGGGCAUUCUGUACCAUUUAGAAAAUUUUGAUUACGAGAUACGCAAGGGUAAAAGUGGACAGUCAUGUUUUGACGUUUGUGCAGCUAACAAUGAAAUCUGUGAUAAAGUAGGGAUAUCGAUACUUGACACAAACUGCGGGAUCUUAAAAGUAUUAGCUCCGGAAUAUAACAGUUGUAAGGAAGCUCCCGUGUCUGUUUACAAAAGCAAAGAAUUCUUUUUGCCAGCUAUGGAUCCUGCUGGUACAUGGUUGAUAUCAAAACGAAUUCCAAAUUUUUAUUUUUAUAACUGCUAUGCAGCUAAAACAGGAUUUAGUAGAAUUUGUUCAUGCAAGUAGAGAUCACGUGAAUUUAGAGGUUUUAAAUGUCAAGUGAAUUUAGAGGUUUUAAAUGUCACGUGAAUCUAGAGGUUUUAA
rnacentral:misc_RNA from 1 species